rnacentral:lncRNA from 1 species
GCGGCCAGGGCAAGGGCCUCGGCUUCUUGAAGAUUAAGGUCUUUCUUUGCUAGCAGCUGCUUUUGCAAAUUCUUGGACCUGACUCCACACACAAUACGGUCCCUUAUCAUUCUGUCCAGCAUCGUCGAAAAGUUGCAAUUCUGGGCCAUCUGUCGAAUUGCCACAAUAAAUGCAUGCACAGACUCCCCUUCUUGCUGGUAGCGAUGGAAGAAUUUGAAGCUUUCAAAAAUUUCAUUCGGCACUGGGUCGUAGUAGCUGUUUAACGUCUGCACAACUUCCGCGUAGGUCAGAGCAUUAGGUUUCUGCGGCGCUACUUUCCCGUUCAAGAUUUCAAUUGUCUUUGUUCCAAGCGCGGGUACCAGCAGGGCCCUCAUCUUAGCAUCGUCCUUCACAUCAUUAGCUUCAAAGUAAGCCUCCGCCUUUACUAAGUACGCCUGCCACUUAUCUUUUGCGUCUUCGAAUUCCGGUAGUUGGUGUGCCAUGGCUGGUGGGUUCGUUCUGCAGGCCGUCGCUUGUGGGCAUAUGCUGGCCUUCUUGUUGCUGUAGAAUUCUCGUCACCGCUGUUACGUCUACCGCCCGUGGC